UGACCCCAACAAGAAACCCACAACUAGGUUGUUUUCCUCAUGCCUUAGCCCUCAAAAUCAGUUUUCACCCACUGACGGUACUUGCUCUUCGUCUUCUCAUCCAACUCCUUGGCUUUAAUCUCCGCAAUCCUGGCCGCAUUCGCCAUGGAUUCCUCUUGCACCCUCGCUAACCUCCUGCUCCUUUUCUUCGCAGUCGCCUCUCUCUCAGCUUCUAACCCCUCAUAUUCCUUCACCCAACAGUGAUGGACCGUGCAGCUCACCGCUAACACCAUCAAUUGCAUCACCAACACCGCCAUCAAAAUCCCACAUUCCAAUCUCACCAGCACCUUUGCCUCUUUAAU
rnacentral:lncRNA from 1 species